CAUCACUCAAUUAAUUAUUUUAGUUAUCGAUACACACACACAAAAAAAAAACACAUUAAAUUUAAGAGAGAUGGCAGGUGGUUAUUUUUUCACAUAUUUUCUUAUUUCAAUUGCGUUGAUAAUUUCUUAAUUCAGUUUCCGCCGCAAGGCCAGCAGCGGGAGAAACAAAUACGGAUUUUAUACGAACCUCCUGUAAGUCAACAACUUAUCCAACUCUGUGUUUCAGUUCAUUAUCAAGUCGUUCAAAUGCUAUUGGAGUUUCUCCACAACUUUUAGCACAUGAAUCUCUCACCGUUAGCCUCGAAACAGCCCAAUCAACAUCCGCUAUGAUGUUGAAAUUGUCACACAGUCAAGGCAUGACGCCUAGAGAAGUAGGCGCCAUGCGUGACUGUGUGGAGGAAUUAAGUGACGCAGUUAGUGGAAUUAAAAAAUCUUUCGGGGAAAUGAAGGAAUUGAAGGGAAAAGAUUUUGAUUUGAAAAUGAAUGAUAUUCAAACAUGGGUGAGUGCCGCCUUGACGGACGAGGACACGUGUACCGAAGGGUUCGCCGGAAAAGUGAUGAACGGGAAAGUUAAAACAGUUGUGAGAGGAAAAAUACUUGAAGUUGCUCAGUUGACCAGUAAUGCUUUGGCUUUGAUCAACAGACUUGCUGCCAUUCACGGCUAAAGUAAUUUGAAAGAUAUUAAUGUUUUGAUUGAUCUUCUUUUAGGAAAAAAAAAGAGUAUACUUAAGUUGAUUGUUGUAAUAGAUAAGAUGAUUGUAUGUGAUGAAUUUGUUAAAUGAAAAUGUUCCAUAUGCAUUUGUUGAAAAAA